CCGUAACUAUAACGGUCCUAAGGUAGCGAAAUUCCUUGUCGGGUAAGUUCCGACCCGCACGAAAGGCGCAACGAUCUGGGCACUGUCUCAACGAGAGACUCGGUGAAAUUAUAGUACCUGUGAAGAUGCAGGUUACCCGCGACAGGACGGAAAGACCCCGUGGAGCUUUACUGCAACCUGAUAUGGAAUGUUUGUACCGCUUGUACAGGAUAGGUAGGAGCCGAAGAGACGUGUGCGCUAGCAUACGAGGAGGCAAUGGUGGGAUACUACCCUGGCUGUAUGACCAUUCUAACCCGCCACGCUUAGCGCGUGGGGAGACAGUGUCAGGUGGGCAGUUUGACUGGGGCGGUCGCCUCCUAAAGAGUAACGGAGGCGCCCAAAGGUUCCCUCAGAAUGGAUGGAAAUCAUUCGCAGAGUGUAAAGGCACAAGGGAGCUUGACUGCGAGACUGACAAGUCGAGCAGGGACGAAAGUCGGGCUUAGUGAUCCGGUGGUUCCGCAUGGAAGGGCCAUCGCUCAACGGAUAAAAGCUACCCCGGGGAUAACAGGCUUAUCUCCCCCAAGAGUCCACAUCGACGGGGAGGUUUGGCACCUCGAUGUCGGCUCGUCGCAUCCUGGGGCUGUAGUCGGUCCCAAGGGUUGGGCUGUUCGCCCAUUAAAGCGGCACGCGAGCUGGGUUCAGAACGUCGUGAGACAGUUCGGUCCCUAUCCGUCGCGGGCGCAGGAAAUUUGAGAGGAGCUGUCCUUAGUACGAGAGGACCGGGAUGGACACACCGCUGGUGUACCAGUUGUUCCGCCAGGAGCAUCGCUGGGUAGCUAUGUGUGGCAGGGAUAAACGCUGAAAGCAUCUAAGCGUGAAGCCCCCCUCAAGAUGAGAUUUCCCAUUUCUUCGGAAAGUAAGAUCCCUGAAAGAUGAUCAGGUAGAUAGGUUUGGAGUGGAAGUGUAGCGAUACAUGGAGCGGACAAAUACUAAUCGAUCGAGGACUUAACCAAAAA
rnacentral:rRNA from 1 species